rnacentral:lncRNA from 1 species
UCCACUGCUAUUAUUAAUGUAGUUAUUGUUAUUGUUGCAGUGUUGCUGUAUAUUUUACACUAUUGUAAUUGUUUGUUUUUGUUGACAUAGUUCGCUUUAAUGGAACAGUCCGAGUGAGAAUAACAAUUAAUCAAACUGAUACUAUCAAAAAACAGGUACAUUUUAAUUUUAAUUUUAGGGAAUUCAAAUUCGCUGAAAUUGUGAUGAAAAUGAUUAACAUGUAUAGUAAGUUAAUGUGACACCUGAACACACACUAUAUGUAAUAUUGAUGCUAAAAUGUCCUUUUCAUCUCAGCUUACAGAUGGUUUUAAACAAUUACAUGGGUUUGAGUGCCUCAAUGUGUCUGGACCAAGGUAAUGAAAUCUAAAUGUAUUGGAUGUAUUUUCUCAUUGCUUAAUAUUUGGCAGAGUGCUUGUUUUUCUCCCCAAAGGUGCAACAUCAAUUUCUGAUUUUGUCUCCCUUUCACCCAUUGGCAACUCAAUACGGACACAUAAGGGAUGAUGGACAAAUUGUUGAUUUCAAAGUGGAUCUCAGUGUCAUAUUUCUGACUGAUACACUUGCAAAAAUAAUAGCUGACCUGGAACCUACUGUUGGCAAAAUAGCUGUUGAAACAUCAGGACUCGUGAGCAUUCAGUAUCCAAUGGACACAGUGAAAUUCUCCUCAACACCGACGCUAAACUGCAGAUUUGAAGAGAAAACAAACGGCUCUUGGAACUGGAACCUGUUAAAAGGAAAUAAGACAUUUGAUCUGAACACUGGAAGCAGCAUAACAGUCUCAUUACCCAAUGAAACGCCACACAAUUGUACCACAGUCCAAAUUAUAAAGUUGUCAGGGAACUGGGCAGGGAUUUAUAAGUGUGGAUUUUCCAAAGGGUCCAUUGUGCACGCAGCCACUGCAGAGUUGAAGGUAGCCCUGCUACCAGAUAAGAUCACCAUGACGAUUGACCCACUGACUGUAGAAUGCCAAGAUGCAGUGCCUCCUGUGACAGUCACCGCAACCAUCGAUAACAGCACAGAGCAAUACACGGUCACUUGGUCAUACCAAAAUAAUCUCCAAACUCCAAAUCUCCAAACUAAACCAGGUACCAGGAACUCUUAGUCUUGUGUCUUGAACUAUGUAUCACCUUGUUUAUUUUUGUGCUCAAAAUGAUUAAAGUUGCAGUAACUUGAUAAUAAAUAAGCAGUUGCUUAUCAACAGAUAGUUUGUUGAUAGUACGACCAUCUGUAGAGCAUCUCCAGAUGGAAAAUCUUCACUAUCCAAAUAAAGUGUGACCACAUUCUAUUCUAGUACCACCAGCGGGGAUAGCCUACACCACAGUGAUAUCUAUAAAUUGCAGUCCAUCAAGCUCACCCCAUGUUGUCAUCGUCAGCUUUACAAAUCAGAUGGAUGAGAUCAAGAAAGCAAGCAUAACUAUCCCAGUGAUAUAUGGUAUGUUCAGAUUGUAUGAGUCCAUACAAAAAAGGGGAAAAAGGAAAAGCCAUUCCAGUUAAUUACUAUCCCUCAAAUGUGUGAAAUGAUGUGAUUGGUUAAAGUCCCCUUACAUCCAGAAGGGAUGAAGAAGAUGAGGCUUAAUUCCUAUUAAUACUCUUUACUGCUGUUUAUAUUCAGCUCAUGACAGGAACCAGGCUUGUCCUGAAGACAGUAACGUUUGGCCAAAAACCCCAAAAGGUGUAACUGUCACCAUCCGAAAAUGUGAGGUGAAUAGAGUUGGGUACAAAGAGCGGACAUGCAAGGGGCCUGAGUGGAUGGAGGUGCUGGAUAACUGUGUCAAUGAGGAGCUCAACAAAGUUGUCAAUGCAGCAGCAGUGAGUAUGACCUUUCACCUUCUGCACUCACACAACUCUUAUACUGCGAAGUUGAUAUGGAACGUUGGUAAUGUUUCGGUGAAUGCCUACAUUUUCUGUAAAAGUGCAUUCCUGACAUUUAGUAAUAUGACAACACUACUCACGGGUUGGUCAUAUGAUAUAUCACAUUCUUCAACUACACAUCCAGCCAAUGGAAUGCUGUGUGACUUGUGUUGAAAUACUCUGGGCCUGUAGAAUGUGUUGGUAUAGGAAACCAAGUUACUAUUCUA